GGGUUGUGAGGUUAAGCGACUAAGCGUACACGGUGGAUGCCCUGGCAGUCAGAGGCGAUGAAGGGCGUGCUAAUUUAGUGGAAGCGUCUGGAAAGGCGCGCGAUACAGGGUGACAGCCCCGUACACAAAAGCGCAUGUGCUGUGAGCUCGAUGAGUAGGGCGGGACACGUGGUAUCCUGUCUGAAUAUGGGGGGACCAUCCUCCAAGGCUAAAUACUCCUGACUGACCGAUAGUGAACCAGUACCGUGAGGGAAAGGCGAAAAGAACCCCGGCGAGGGGAGUGAAAAAGAACCUGAAACCGUGUACGUACAAGCAGUGGGAGCACCCUUUGGGGUGUGACUGCGUACCUUUUGUAUAAUGGGUCAGCGACUUAUAUUCUGUAGCAAGGUUAACCGUAUAGGGGAGCCGGAGGGAAACCGAGUCUUAACCGGGCGUUAAGUUGCAGGGUAUAGACCCGAAACCCGGUGAUCUAGCCAUGGGCAGGUUGAAGGUUGGGUAACACUAACUGGAGGACCGAACCGACUAAUGUUGAAAAAUUAGCGGAUGACCUGUGGCUGGGGGUGAAAGGCCAAUCAAACCGGGAGAUAGCUGGUUCUCCCCGAAAGCUAUUUAGGUAGCGCCUCGUGAACUCAUCUCCGGGGGUAGAGCACUGUUUCGGCUAGGGGGCCAUCCCGGCUUACCAACCCGAUGCAAACUGCGAAUACCGGAGAAUG
rnacentral:rRNA from 1 species